AAGUUCUGGGGCUUUAUGCUGUUCGUUGGAGACUGUACAUGUGGACAUAAGUCUAUGUUGGAUCAGAAAUGUGAUUUAUUAGAGUGUUGAGUGCAAGAAAUCACAUGCAAGCUGGAUUGUGUUGGACAAGAUUUGAAGCAUGAGAAGCGUUGUGGGAGAGAAGCGUCAGUGCAACAUUGUUGUUCUAUAGGGAUCAACGUCCUCAAGAUCACUUGGAAAACUUUCACGAAAAACUCGUAAUGCAAGCAUAUGUUUUAUUGGAAAAGUUUUCUAAGCUGAAUUUCUGAAAGCCUCCUCACUGCUUUAGUUAUGCUGAAUUGGAAUUUGCAACUAGGGGUUUCUCACAAGUAAAUUUCUUAGCUAAAGGUGGAUUUUGGUCUGUUCAUCGACAUGUCAUUUCUAAUGGUGGUGGUAUUUGUUAGCUACAAAAUCAUCAAUCAAAGAUUGUAAUUAUAUU